rnacentral:rRNA from 3 species
UACGGAGGGUGCGAGCGUUAAUCGGAAUUACUGGGCGUAAAGCGCACGUAGGUGGUCAGGCAAGUCGGGUGUGAAAGCCCUGGGCUCAACCUGGGAAUUGCAUUCGAAACUAUCUGACUCGAGUAUGGGAGAGGGAAGCGGAAUUUCCGGUGUAGCGGUGAAAUGCGUAGAUAUCGGAAGGAACACCAGUGGCGAAGGCGGCUUCCUGGACUAAUACUGACACUGAGGUGCGAAAGCGUGGGGAGCAAACAGG